rnacentral:rRNA from 1 species
GACGAACGCUGGCGGCGUGCCUAAUACAUGCAAGUAGAACGCUGAAGAGAGGAGCUUGCUCUUCUUGGAUGAGUUGCGAACGGGUGAGUAACGCGUAGGUAACCUGCCUUGUAGCGGGGGAUAACUAUUGGAAACGAUAGCUAAUACCGCAUAACAAUGGAUGACACAUGUCAUUUAUUUGAAAGGGGCAAUUGCUCCACUACAAGAUGGACCUGCGUUGUAUUAGCUAGUAGGUGAGGUAAUGGCUCACCUAGGCGACGAUACAUAGCCGACCUGAGAGGGUGACGGGCCACACGGGAAUUGGGACACGGCCCGGACUCCACCGGGAGGCACCGGAAGGGAUUCUCCGGCAAGGGGGGCAACCCGAACCGGGCACCGCGGGUUGGUUAAGGAGGUUUUCCGAACGUAAAACUCUUUUGUAAAGCCAGGACGGGUGGGGGAGUGGAAAGGUCAACACGUGGCGGUAGCUUACCAGAAAGGGACGGCUAACUACGUG